rnacentral:rRNA from 1 species
AUUGAACGCUGGCGGCAGGCCUAACACAUGCAAGUCGAACGGUAACAGGAAACAGCUUGCUGUUUCGCUGACGAGUGGCGGACGGGUGAGUAAUGUCUGGGAAACUGCCUGAUGGAGGGGGAUAACUACUGGAAACGGUAGCUAAUACCGCAUAACGUCGCAAGACCAAAGAGGGGGACCCUCGGGCCUCUUGCCAUCGGAUGUGCCCAGAUGGGAUUAGCUUGUUGGUGGGGUAACGGCUCACCAAGGCGACGAUCCCUAGCUGGUCUGAGAGGAUGACCAGCCACACUGGAACUGAGACACGGUCCAGACUCCUACGGGAGGCAGCAGUGGGGAAUAUUGCACAAUGGGCGCAAGCCUGAUGCAGCCAUGCCGCGUGUAUGAAGAAGGCCUCGGGUUGUAAGUACUUCUAGCGGGGAGGAAGGGA